rnacentral:rRNA from 1 species
UUGAACGCUGGCGGCAGGCCUAACACAUGCAAGUCGAGCGGUAGCACAGAGAGCUUGCUCUCGGGUGACGAGCGGCGGACGGGUGAGUAAUGUCUGGGAAACUGCCUGAUGGAGGGGGAUAACUACUGGAAACGGUAGCUAAUACCGCAUAACGUCGCAAGACCAAAGUGGGGGACCUUCGGGCCUCAUGCCAUCAGAUGUGCCCAGAUGGGAUUAGCUAGUAGGUGGGGUAACGGCUCACCUAGGCGACGAUCCCUAGCUGGUCUGAGAGGAUGACCAGCCACACUGGAACUGAGACACGGUCCAGACUCCUACGGGAGGCAGCAGUGGGGAAUAUUGCACAAUGGGCGCAAGCCUGAUGCAGCCAUGCCGCGUGUGUGAAGAAGGCCUUCGGGUUGUAAAGCACUUUCAGCGGGGAGGAAGGCGAUAAGGUUAAUAACCUUGUCGAUUGACGUUACCCGCAGAAGAAGCACCGGCUAACUCCGUGCCAGCAGCCGCGGUAAUACGGAGGGUGCAAGCGUUAAUCGGAAUUACUGGGCGUAAAGCGCACGCAGGCGGUCUGUCAAGUCGGAUGUGAAAUCCCCGGGCUCAACCUGGGAACUGCAUUCGAAACUGGCAGGCUAGAGUCUUGUAGAGGGGGGUAGAAUUCCAGGUGUAGCGGUGAAAUGCGUAGAGAUCUGGAGGAAUACCGGUGGCGAAGGCGGCCCCCUGGACAAAGACUGACGCUCAGGUGCGAAAGCGUGGGGAGCAAACAGGAUUAGAUACCCUGGUAGUCCACGCCGUAAACGAUGUCGAUUUGGAGGUUGUGCCCUUGAGGCGUGGCUUCCGGAGCUAACGCGUUAAAUCGACCGCCUGGGGAGUACGGCCGCAAGGUUAAAACUCAAAUGAAUUGACGGGGGCCCGCACAAGCGGUGGAGCAUGUGGUUUAAUUCGAUGCAACGCGAAGAACCUUACCUGGUCUUGACAUCCACAGAACUUUCCAGAGAUGGAUUGGUGCCUUCGGGAACUGUGAGACAGGUGCUGCAUGGCUGUCGUCAGCUCGUGUUGUGAAAUGUUGGGUUAAGUCCCGCAACGAGCGCAACCCUUAUCCUUUGUUGCCAGCGGUUAGGCCGGGAACUCAAAGGAGACUGCCAGUGAUAAACUGGAGGAAGGUGGGGAUGACGUCAAGUCAUCAUGGCCCUUACGACCAGGGCUACACACGUGCUACAAUGGCAUAUACAAAGAGAAGCGACCUCGCGAGAGCAAGCGGACCUCAUAAAGUAUGUCGUAGUCCGGAUUGGAGUCUGCAACUCGACUCCAUGAAGUCGGAAUCGCUAGUAAUCGUAGAUCAGAAUGCUACGGUGAAUACGUUCCCGGGCCUUGUACACACCGCCCGUCACACCAUGGGAGUGGGUUGCAAAAGAAGUAGGUAGCUUAUCCUUCGGGAGGGCGCUUACCACUUUGUGAUUCAUGACUGGGGUG